GCAGUGGUGGUUCAACGGUAGAACUCUCACCUUCCGUGCAGAAGACCCGGGUUUGAUUCCUAGCCAAUGUA
rnacentral:tRNA from 1 species